GGCUUGUCAGAGUGCAGUGGGUUUUAUAGCUAAGUGAUCACAACCAGUUAUAGAUUCCUUUGUUCCUUCCCCACUCCCACUGCUUCAUGUGACUGUUAA
ensembl:misc_RNA Y_RNA Y RNA